rnacentral:lncRNA from 1 species
UUUGGUAAAAAAAACAAACAAAGACAGAAAUAAAGGACAGGACAAGGAUAAAGUGAAACGGGACCGAGCUCGAUUACUAGUUCAGUUGCAAUUUAAUUUGAGGACAAAUAUGCUUUUUUUCAUAUUACUGUAUAACACUCUUAUUAUUUCUCGCACAUACUCACUUUCUAAUUCUUCAAUGCAGCGUUGCAUAUUUUAGGUUUAUGUUAAGAAUUUGGUGUUUGCAUGAGUAUUGUGUUAUGUUGACUUACUUUUUUGUAUAACUACACAUGGUGGCAUAACAACUACCAAGUUUGUGUCUUGAAAGGUAAAAUAUGAUUUGUUGAUCAUUGAUUAAAGGUCACAAAGUUGUUGUGCACAUGAGUGUUAAAAUCAAUAAAUAAAAUUACAAUUUUGGUUCAUAGUCCUGUCCCAAUGACUCAGUGAUCUUCGUAAGAUUGAGAGUGGUUCUUCAUGAGUUUAAAUGUGCUAUUUUUUUUUUCUUCUUUUUCCCGUAAUAUUAUAUAGCCAAUGGAAUCGAUAUUGAUGUUAUGCAAUGAUUUUUAAAAAAUGUUGAUUAAUUUUUUUUUUAAUUUAUGUAUUGGUAGUUUGUCUUG